GGUAUGAGCAGAGAAGUCUUACGUGCCACAAAACAAGGUAGAAGAAGAUGGAGACGCAAACGGUUUUGACCAACAGAUUGCUAUUCAUUUCAAUCUUGCAAUUGAGGUUUAAGCCUCAAGAAUCAGUCUUGCAGAUCAAUUGCAACGGUGUGAUCAAUAGAUUGUUUAACGAAAAACAACUGAAAAGAGCCAUGAGAGCAGAGAAGGCUAUUUAUUUCUCUUCUUAGUUUUGCUAUUUUUAGACAAGCUGCUUUUGCGGCACUUGUAUGCACACAAAAGGUAUUCGUCUCGAACAUGAAUGUAUGCACAAAACAAGUAUCAUGCAUAUUGGUAUGAUGGGAAUUAA